AUAGUGUAUCGUGAACAAUAUUGAUUUUAUAAGAAGAAAAGUGGUUCCAUUAAUUAAUUCAAUCAGAUUCACUUUCACUAUUGAAAUGUGAAUUUGACAUAUAAAUGUAAUUGUGAUUCAUUGUUGUAGUAUCAGUAUGUUUACUUUAGUGGCUAGUUGUGAAUCAUUGUUGUUGUAUUAGUUGUUGCCUUGUUGUUUUCCUAAGUUUGAAUUUGGUUUGGGAUUAAGGAAAUUAAUAUAUGAGAUAUAUAUUCAUUUACUUAGUAUUGUUUCGGUUUGGAUUAGAUUUAGGAACUCCUAUAAAAAAUAAAGGUGAAAAAAGCAUUGGCAUUGCUAAAAAGAAUACUAGUUUGAAUUAUCAUAAACUCAAUCUACUUUUGAGUUGAUUUUCAUAGUAAGUUGGUUAUUAUCUGGUCAGUUGGACUUGGAAUUAGAGCUCCGGUUUGGUAUCUUUAAGUAGGAAUCUUGUUGAGUUCUUGUUUUUACUCACUAUAGUGUUAAACAUAUUGGUUUGUGCAUUUGAUUUUCUUGAACUUGUUAUUUUUAGUCAAUGGAUUUGGAU
rnacentral:lncRNA from 1 species